UCAGGUUAUUUCAUUGGUACCCGUAGGUAAACUAGGUUUACAGUCUAAGAGGCAGGACAUCCUUAAAACUUUGUAGACCACCACAUAACAUACAACACACAAAACAUGAAAACAUAUAAAACAGACAGACUUGUGUGCUAG